CCUGACUGCUAUCGGAUUGAUACUAAGCCAUGCGAGUCAUUGUAGUAAUACAAGGCAUACGGCUCAGUAACACGUAGUCAAUCUAACCUAUGGACGGGGAUAACCUCGGGAAACUGAGGAUAAACCCCGAUAGAUCAUAAUGCCUGGAACGGUUUAUGGUCCAAAUGAUUCGUCGCCGUAGGGUGGGACUGCGGCCUAUCAGCUUGUUGGUGAGGUAAUGGCCCACCAAGGCUAUUACAGGUACGGGCUCUGAGAGGAGAAGCCCGGAGAUGGGUACUGAGACACGGACCCAGGCCCUAUGGGGCGCAGCAGGCGAGAAACCUUUGCAAUGUGCGCAAGCACGACAAGGUUAAUCCGAGUGUUUCCUGUUAAAGGAAUCUUUUGUUAGUUCUAAAACCACUGAUGAAUAAGGGGUGGGCAAGUUCUGGUGUCAGCCGCCGCGGUAAAACCAGCACCUCAAGUGGUCAGGAUGAUUAUUGGGCCUAAAGCAUCCGUAGCCUGUUCUGUAAGUUUCCGGUUAAAUCCAUUAGCUCAACUAAUGGGCUGCCGAAAAUACUGCAAAACUAGGGAGUGGGAGAGGUAGACGGUACUCGGUAGGAAGGGGUAAAAUCCUUUGAUCUAUUGAUGACCACCUGUGGCGAAGGCGGUCUACCAGAACACGUUCGACGGUGAGGGAUGAAAGCUGGGGGAGCAAACCGGAUUAGAUACCCGGGUAGUCCCAGCUGUAAACUAUGCAAACUCAGUGAUGCAUUGGCUUGUGGCCAAUGCAGUGCUGCAGGGAAGCCGUUAAGUUUGCCGCCUGGGAAGUACGUACGCAAGUAUGAAACUUAAAGGAAUUGGCGGGGGAGCACCACAAGGGGUGAAGCCUGCGGUUC
rnacentral:rRNA from 1 species